rnacentral:rRNA from 1 species
UGGGGAAUAUUGGACAAUGGGCGAAAGCCUGAUCCAGCCAUGCCGCGUGUGUGAAGAAGGUCUUCGGAUUGUAAAGCACUUUAAGUUGGGAGGAAGGGCAGUAAGCGAAUACCUUGCUGUUUUGACGUUACCGACAGAAUAAGCACCGGCUAACUCUGUGCCAGCAGCCGCGGUAAUACAGAGGGUGCAAGCGUUAAUCGGAAUUACUGGGCGUAAAGCGCGCGUAGGUGGUUCGUUAAGUUGAAUGUGAAAGCCCCGGGCUCAACCUGGGAACUGCAUCCAAAACUGGCGAGCUAGAGUAGGGCAGAGGGUGGUGGAAUUUCCUGUGUAGCGGUGAAAUGCGUAGAUAUAGGAAGGAACACCAGUGGCGAAGGCGACCACCUGGGCUCAUACUGACGCUGAGGUGCGAAAGCGUGGGGAGCAAACAGG